UUGGAGCGCGGCGAUCAGCCGCUCCCCCCGUAAAAGCACACGGGGGUGACGUCACCACGAGCCACACGCACGCUGGGCACGGCGCGGCAGAGGUCGGGGGAGAACCGCGCUUACACGCAGCUGUCACGAGAGGCUGCGCGUGCGCGCGGCAGGUGCCGGGGGCGAGGCCUUGCCGGGGAGGGGCAGGGCUUGGAGCGCGGUUCUCAGCUCCACACACUUCAAAACACACGGGAGUGGUGUCACCGCGAUCCACGCGCACUUUAAAACUGAUCUCCGUUGUCCUCUCCCCACACUCCCUGAUAAAGAGCCCAUCCACAUCUUUUCUUCAAGUACUGGAAGGCUGCACUUACGUAAUGGGAAUAUGUUGUAAUGCAGAGAACUUUUCCUGAGACCAUGAAGGAAGCUGGGGAGUUUGAUGGCUUCAAUCUUCAUCUUAGGAAAAGGAGUUAUGCGCACUUCAAGGUCAACAAGGAUUUUUUUCUCUGAGGCCUUCUGAUGCUUAAUGUAUUUUUCAUUUUAUGAUUGCCCAAAGCUAGAUAUGGCUGGGGCUAUUGGCGUGUCUGAGGAGCUGCCUGAGUAGCUGUUGAUUGUCCUAAUCACAUCUGGUGGACAGCAAGAAUUACAGGAGGACUUAAUCUCCUUCUCCCUACCCUAGCCUGUCGUCUUUUGAUGAAGACCAGGUAAAAGCAUACUGCAGAUGGGACCACUCUCCAUAUGGCUCCCUUCUUUGGAUCGCUGCUGCCUCUUGUGCUUGCUUCCCAUGACAGUUGUAGCAUGUGUAGUUUUUCAUGCAAUUAUAUAUAUAUAUUUCAGGCCUUGUGUCUGUUGUGAUGUGUUGUGGAAAAUAAAUCCGAGUGGCUGCCUUCAAGAUUAAACUUUAUUAGUUGCUUUCUUGUGAUGAGUAUUUAACUGGCAUUAACAACUCAGUAGGUUAAAAGAGAUAGGGGUGGCUGUAAAGUCCCAUGAACCACUUACAAAUGCCUGUCCACACAACCUCACCCACACCAUGGCACAGCUGGUAGAUAUAUUCCUGUAUCUGAUGGAGUGAAAUGCAGUGGGUUUCUAGGGAAACCAUGCACAGUUAGUUAUAUUCAGGACAGUGCUGUCAUAUUUUUUUUUGGUUGGUACCCUUCUGUAUUUACUUUACAGAGCUGUAAAUCAUGUGGAAUGCAUGUGCUGCAAGAAAUAGUGUGUCAGUGUUGAAGAAGCUGCCGCUGUUGUGCCCAAAUUGCUGUAAAAUGGAUUUAUGCCAGCAUGACUUGCAAUGCUGUAACAUGUCUGUGUUAGCUGCUUGUACUGGUGCAAACCUGUGUAUGCCUGUUAUAGCUGCAUGCCUCAAGAAACACAGGGCUUGAAACUUAGGUUUCUGAUGCAACACUUUUUGGGUAAAGCCAUUUCCUCUGCAUGACUUGUGUAAUUAAGUUUAUUAAGAAUCCUGGCACCCUUACAAAUGGAUGUACGUGUAUUAUGAGGCACAGGGAAAGUGCUAGACUUAAGCUUGAGGACAAAGGUGGAAUUGAGGCACACCCAGCUUUAAGGCUUUAAGAAGAUAAUGAAUUGUAUUUCCUUUGCAGCUGCCACUCUAGUCCAAGGCUAGAUUGCAUAGUUUCUGCCCAGCCUGUGCUCUAGCAGCAUGUCCGGCAGGUGGGGUCCCGGGGCUUUUCUUGCUGUGGCUGUAUUUGACCAGUCAAGAGGGCACAGAACCUACUGUUCUCCCCUAUGGGGUUUUUGCUGGGGUCAGUGUAACUACAGGGCCAAUGGCCCUGACCUGCAGAUCUCCCAAGGUACCCCUGUGCAGAGCGAGUGGCAGCGCUGUGAUCAGGCCACGUCAGUCCUGAGCAGGUGGCUCCGCAACUGCCAGGUGCCAAGGCCAUGUGAACCGAGCAGCCUGGCAGUGGGAGAGUAGCAGCAGAGCAGGAAUUGCUGCUCUUAUUAUCUCAGAAAAUAUAUCAUAGUUUCAAAUCCUGAAGACCACAACCUGUAAAGUGAAAUUCCCCUUUUCCCUAGAGAGGCUGGACAAGGCAUGGUGUUUCUCCUGGAAUCCUUUAAUUUCAGACACUGAGUUCUUUGUGAUUUCUGAUGCACUGGACCUACAGAGAGUAGCAGUUGCAAUACAACGACUUGUCCAAAACUACAGAUCUAUUCUUUCUUUUAUAGGUAAUCUUCUACAGUGUUUGUUCUUUUGCAAACAUGAACUUUUUAUUUCAAAACAAGGAUAAAAGUAAAGUAUUCUAAUUUGUGAUGAAAGUUCCCUUCCUCUCUACAGAUACACUCAGCUGCUACUGUAACAGGAGAGAAUUUCUGGCUCUAGCAAGAAAUUUCAUGUAUUUUUGGAAUAAACUUUUACUAAGGCAAAAUAAUUUGUAAAAAUAGAUCAUUUUCUCAAUCAACUUUUAAAUAUUUAUAGUUUAAGGAGCACUGUUCUUGCUUCCAAACUCAGGUUUGGAAGUAUUUAUGCAGUAUUUAUUUUAGUAAACUGUGCACUCGUAUCAACAAUUAGGAAAGCUUUUAUUUGCCUCAACAGCAGCAACUGAACUAGGAUUUGCGUGGCAGGUUGGCAGAAUUGGCACGCAUGAAGAGAGGCUCUUAGAUGUUGAUACAGGCACUUCCAUGUAUUGACUUACGAGCAAACAUUGCUCCUAAUGGUUGAUAGCAUCCAGAAGUCAGUCUGGUGGUAAAUAACUGGGUAAGUGGUGUCAGCUUCUUGAGACUCUGACCCUGAAGACUGUCAACUUGUAUAUGCCUGUAUGUUUUUUUUUACCAAAUAAUGAUGAAGAUGUGUCAGGGAGUUUUCUGAGCAUGUUUACAAACAGCGCAUAGACAAAACUGAAUAUUCCUUCUGUGCUGGCUUGCUGGCUAAGAUGUAUAAACCAUGUCAUUCCAAGGAUGACUUGCUAAGAGCAACUAAGUUCUUUCUAAACAACAUGCAUAUGGAAAAAAAUCAGAGAUGUUACAGUCUCAGAUGCUCUGUGUGUGUGCGCGGCUGUACAUACUGGAGUUGCAGUUCUCUGAUUUUUCUUGUCUUCCUUAGGCAAGUUCACCUUUGGGAGUGUGGGGAUGUGAAAUUAGUAGUGUAAUUUAGCAAGUCUUUAGGGACUAAGGAGCAGCAUCACCAGUGAAGCGACUAAAAAUAUCUGCCAGUUAGAGGAGGGUGGAGCAAGCCUUUGUAGAGGCUACGUACACUCCCAAGAGCAGCACAUGCUGCACUACUAUGCUGUGGCUGGCUAGUAAAACCAGGCCAUCUUACAUCAGGGCUACACAAAUAGCAGAAGCUUUACUUGCACAUUCCUUGUGGAGUGGAAUUGCUCAGCAGUCCGUCCCCUGGAUCCUGCUGGUGUAGCUGACACAUAUCACAUGAUCAAGGAGGUAGUUGUGAUUGCAGAGGGAAACCUCCUUGAUUAAAACACAAAGCACGUGCACCUUUCCAAGCAAAAGCCUAUAUGUACACUCUACACUGUGUUCCUGACUUGGCUCCUGAGAAGACAGAUGAAAUUGGGGCUUUGACACAAGUCCAACUCAGUAUGAAGUGGAAACAAAGCACAUAACAUAUAUUUUCUUUAUUGCUGGACUUUUUUAUUUUUUCCAGUAAGUAGGCAUGAUUCCUUAAAGGCUGAGGUUUUUUUAAUACAGUAAGGUUUUUCAGGUUUCUUUUUUUGCUGUGGACAAAAGGAUACCUUUGAUCAAAGUUUUGCCUUAUAUUACAGUAUUUCUGUACAAAAAUAAAAGUCCAAAAUCAGCUUUAUAUUAGCUGAUAUUCCCCAAUUUAUUUACAGGGUAGUGUCAAGAACCUUCAUCAGGCAACCGGGUAAAAUAGAAAACUCUGUAUUAAAGCAGUUGCAUUGUAUAACUUUGCAUUUUCCAGUCAACUCGGAAGGGCCCUGACCUUUGGAAGUGAGUCUGGCUUGGAGAGUCCAGCCAGAAUUACAAAAGUGAUGUUUUAAAAGAGAAAAAUUAAUAUUAAAAACUUAAGCUGGCGUUGUGUAGUACUGAACUGAUAACUGUAUUUCAGUAUUAGGGUAGUCUAUAAAUACUCUCAGCUACAUCUCUCUUUAUAAUACAGCAGAUACAGAAUGCAGACUUCUGCUACUUACGUGGUAAUACAUAUUUGCAAUAUAU